CAUGUACUCCCUCCGUCCGGAAAUACUUGUCAUCAAAAUUAAUAAAAGGGGAUGUAUUUAGAUGUAUUUUAGUUUUAGAUACAUCCUUUUUUGUCCAUUUUGAUGACAAGAUUUUCGAACGGACGGAGUACGUG
rfam:Triticum aestivum genome assembly, contig: Triticum_aestivum_CS42_TGACv1_scaffold_130212_2BL